rnacentral:rRNA from 1 species
GUCGAACGGUAACAGAAAGCAGCUUGCUGCUUUGCUGACGAGUGGCGGACGGGUGAGUAAUGUCUGGGAAACUGCCUGAUGGAGGGGGAUAACUACUGGAAACGGUAGCUAAUACCGCAUAACGUCGCAAGACCAAAGAGGGGGACCUUCGGGCCUCUUGCCAUCGGAUGUGCCCAGAUGGGAUUAGCUAGUAGGUGGGGUAAAGGCUCACCUAGGCGACGAUCCCUAGCUGGUCUGAGAGGAUGACCAGCCACACUGGAACUGAGACACGGUCCAGACUCCUACGGGAGGCAGCAGUGGGGAAUAUUGCACAAUGGGCGCAAGCCUGAUGCAGCCAUGCCGCGUGUAUGAAGAAGGCCUUCGGGUUGUAAAGUACUUUCAGCGGGGAGGAAGGGAGUAAAGUUAAUACCUUUGCUCAUUGACGUUACCCGCAGAAGAAGCACCGGCUAACUCCGUGCCAGCAGCCGCGGUAAUACGGAGGGUGCAAGCGUUAAUCGGAAUUACUGGGCGUAAAGCGCACGCAGGCGGUUUGUUAAGUCAGAUGUGAAAUCCCCGGGCUCAACCUGGGAACUGCAUCUGAUACUGGCAAGCUUGAGUCUCGUAGAGGGGGGUAGAAUUCCAGGUGUAGCGGUGAAAUGCGUAGAGAUCUGGAGGAAUACCGGUGGCGAAGGCGGCCCCCUGGACGAAGACUGACGCUCAGGUGCGAAAGCGUGGGGGAGCAAACAGGAUUAGAUACCCUGGUAGUCCACGCCGUA